rnacentral:rRNA from 2 species
CGCGUGAAGGAAGAAGGCUUUCGGGUCGUAAACUUCUAUCCCAGGUGAAGAUAAUGACGGUAGCCUGGAAGGAAGCCCCGGCUAACUACGUGCCAGCAGCCGCGGUAAUACGUAGGGGGCAAGCGUUGUCCGGAAUGAUUGGGCGUAAAGGGCGCGUAGGCGGCCUUUUAAGUCCGAUGUGAAAGUCCUGCUUUUAAGGUGGGAAUUGCAUUGGAAACUGGAAGGCUUGAGUGCAGGAGAGGUAAGUGGAAUUCCCGGUGUAGCGGUGAAAUGCGUAGAGAUCGGGAGGAACACCAGUGGCGAAGGCGACUUACUGGACUGUAACUGACGCUGAGGCGCGAAAGUGUGGGGAGCAAACAGGAUUAGAUACCCUGGUAGUCCACACUGUAAACGAUGAGUGCUAGGUGUAGGAGGUAUCGACCCCUUCUGUGCCGGAGUAAACACAAUAAGCACUCCGCCUGGGGAGUA